CGUUCCCGGGCCUUGUACACACCGCCCGUCACACCAUGGGAGUUGGUUUACCGAAGGUAGUGCGCUAACCGCAGGGAGGCAGCUAACCACGGUAGGGUCAGCGACCGGGGUG
rnacentral:rRNA from 1 species